CUUUGUUUGUUUUGAAGAGCAAUAAACAAGUUCCAUAUCAGGAUAUUCUCAGCAUCCUUGAUUCGACAAAAUUCUGCAGUUCCGUUCAGAAUUUUAUCGAUAUAUAUCUCAGGCUAUCUGGGCUUCCUGCCAAUGGUCAGUUGUCAGAUAGUGACUGCAUACGCGUAAGAAUCUGCGAGGGCAGGUUUGCAGUGCUUAUACGUGAGCCAAUUAGGGAAGGGAACUUCAUCAUCCAGCCCAAAGU